AGGGGAUCUUCGGACCUUUCGCUAUGAGAUGAGCCUGCGUUAGAUUAGCUAGUUGGUAGGGUAAAGGCCUACCAAGGCGACGAUCUAUAGCUGGUCUGAGAGGACGAUCAGCCACACUGGGACUGAGACACGGCCCAGACUCCUACGGGAGGCAGCAGUGGGGAAUAUUGGACAAUGGGCGAAAGCCUGAUCCAGCAAUACCGCGUGUGUGAAGAAGGCCUUAGGGUUGUAAAGCACUUUCAAUUGGGAGGAAAACCUGCCGGCCAAUACCCGGUAGCUUGACAUUACCUUUAGAAGAAGCACCGGCUAACUCCGUGCCAGCAGCCGCGGUAAUACGGAGGGUGCGAGCGUUAAUCGGAAUUACUGGGCGUAAAGCGUGCGUAGGCGGUUCGUUAAGUCAGAUGUGAAAGCCCUGGGCUCAACCUGGGAACUGCAUUUGAAACUGGCGGACUAGAGUUUAGUAGAGGGGAGUGGAAUUUCAGGUGUAGCGGUGAAAUGCGUAGAGAUGAGGAGGAACACCAGUGGCGAA
rnacentral:rRNA from 1 species